CACCACUAUAAUUUCCCUCUGCUUUCAGUAGCGGAAAUUCAGAUUAUUUCAGCAAGAGCUAGUAGACCUCGUCUUGUCUUUGCCGCAAGAAUAAAGAGUGAAUAUUUGCUACAAGUGCUAUCUGUAGAGGAAGGGAGCAACCAAGAAUCCACCUGUGCAGGGACAGUCCACUGAAAGUGACUCUUCUAGAAAAGCAGGAUUUUAACAGCCAUAAAUUAUGGCAUUCACAUACCUCAAAAGGCUCUUACUUUUGUCAACAACAGUAUAACAGAGUUGGAAGCAAUCUUAACACUAGGCCAACAGUCAAGACCCAAACAAUAUCC
rnacentral:lncRNA from 1 species